GCCUGGCUAGCUCAGUCGGCUGAGCAUGAGACUUUUAAUUUCAGGGUCGUGGGUUCAAGCCCCACGUUGGGUG